GAUAGGAACUAGGAGUUAGGAGCAGGAGAUAGGAGGUAGGAGCUAAAAGCUAGGAGCAGGAGUUAGGAGAUAGGAACCAUGAGUUAGGAGCAGGAGAUAGGAGGUAGGAGCUAAAAGCUAGGAGCAGGAGUUAGGAGAUAGGAACUAGGAGUUAGGAGCAGGAGUUAGGAGAUAGGAACUAGGAGUUAGGAGCUAAAAGCUAGGAGCAGGAGUUAGGAGUUAGGAACCAUGAGUUAGGAGCAGGAGUUAGGAGGUAGGAGCUAAAAGCUAGGAGCAGGAGUUAGGAGAUAGGAACUAGGAGUUAGGAGCAGGAGAUAGGAGGUAGGAACUAGGAGUUAGGAGCAGGAGUUAGGAGAUAGGAACUAGGAGUUAGGAGCUAAAAACUAGGAGCAGGAGUUAGGAGUUAGGAACCAUGAGUUAGGAGCAGGAGUUAGGAGGUAGGAGCUAAAAGCUAGGAGCAGGAGUUAGGAGAUAGGAACUAGGAGUUAGGAGCAGGAGAUAGGAGGUAGGAACUAGGAGUUAGGAGCAGGAGUUAGGAGGUAGGAGCUAAAAGCUAGGAGCAGGAGUUAGGAGAUAGGAACCAUGAGUUAGGAGCAGGAGAUAGGAGGUAGGAGCUAAAAGCUAGGAGCAGGAGUUAGGAGAUAGGAACUAGGAGUUAGGAGCAGGAGAUAGGAGGUAGGAACUAGGAGUUAGGAGCAGGAGUUAGGAGGUAGGAGCUAAAAGCUAGGAGCAGGAGUUAGGAGAUAGGAACCAGGAGUUAGGAGCAGGAGAUAGGAGAUAGGAACUAGGAGUUAGG